AUUAAAUUAUUAUUUAUAUAACGAGCGCUGGUGGCCUAGCGGUAAGAGCGUGCGACUUGCAAUCCGGAGGUCGCGGGUUCAAACCCGGCUCGUACCAAUGAGUUUUUCGGAACUUA